rnacentral:rRNA from 1 species
GGAUUAGAUACCCUGGUAGUCCAUGCCGUAAACGUUGGGCACUAGGUGUGGGGGACAUUCCACGUUUUCCGUACCGUAGCUAACGCAUUAAGUGCCCCGCCUGGGGAGUACGGCCGCAAGGCUAAAACUCAAAGGAAUUGACGGGUGCCCGCACAAGCGGCGGAGCAUGCGGAUUAAUUCGAUGCAACGCGAAGAACCUUACCAAGGCUUGACAUGAACCGGUAAUACCUGGAAACAGGUGCCCCGCUUGCGGUCGGUUUACAGGUGGUGCAUGGUUGUCGUCAGCUCGUGUCGUGAGAUGUUGGGUUAAGUCCCGCAACGAGCGCAACCCUCGUUCUAUGUUGCCAGCGCGUUAUGGCGGGGACUCAUAGGAGACUGCCGGGGUCAACUCG